rnacentral:lncRNA from 1 species
UUGUAGCCUUAUCUAUCUCCAAAAUGGCACGACUAAGAUUUUAAGAGACACACACAAUUUUGUCGACAAUUUGAGGUGUAAGGUGUGAAAUAAAUUCAAUCUUCACUUUAAGAUUCAAAAAUGAUUAAAUUACUAGCCUUUGUAUUCAUUGGGACGAUUGCCAUCGUUUUAAGUAACAGAUGUCACGUUACUAACGACGAAAAUGAGAUUACUCUGCGGGAACGCAAAUAACAUGACUUGCAAUGAUGUUGCAUACAUCCCGUACUGUCACCAAACAAGUACAGACCCAAAGGUCCAGCUGAACGGAGUAUGCUCUUGCGAACACUUCUGUUUCGCCGACAGUGAGUGCUCGAAAGGGUGUUCUUGGUCUAACAGAUAUGUAGGCGUAUGCCAAGAAGUUUACACUAACAGCAUACAGAAAGUGUGCCUGUGUAAAAGAAGACAUUAAACCAGGAGAAAUCAACACCGUCAUGUAACCAGCUUGUUGAGUUGCUGUUAAAACUGUCAACAGUACAGUAAUAAAAUUUGAAAAAUAA